UACGAAGGGGGCUGAGCGUUGCUCGGAAUGACUGGGCGUAAAGGGCGCGUAGGCGGAUGGCACAGUCAGAUGUGAAAUUCCCGGGCUUAACCUGGGGGCUGCAUUUGAUACGUGUUGUCUUGAGUUCGGAAGAGGGUCGUGGAAGUUCCCAGUGUAGAGGUGAAAUUCGUAGAUAUUGGGAAGAACACCGGUGGCGAAGGCGGGC
rnacentral:rRNA from 1 species